rnacentral:tRNA from 1 species
CAGAGUGUAGUUUAUUUAGAAUAUUAGUUUUGGAGAUUAAUGGAGAAGAUUUCACUUUCAUUCUGA